GACGAACCGUGCGAACGUUAUUCGGUAUCACUGGGCUUAAAGGGUGCGUAGGCGGCUUUGCAAGUUGGGUGUGAAAGCCCUCGGCUCAACCGAGGAAUUGCGCUCAAUACUGCCCGAGCUCGAGAGAGACAGAGGUAAGCGGAACUGAUGGUGGAGCGGUGAAAUGCGUUGAUAUCAUCAGGAACACCGGUGGCGAAGGCGGCGUUACUGGGUCUUUUCUGACGG
rnacentral:rRNA from 1 species